rnacentral:rRNA from 1 species
GAUGAACGCUGGCGGCGUGCCUAAUACAUGCAAGUCGAGCGAACAGACGAGGAGCUUGCUCCUUUGACGUUAGCGGCGGACGGGUGAGUAACACGUGGAUAACCUACCUAUAAGACUGGGAUAACUUCGGGAAACCGGAGCUAAUACCGGAUAACAUGUUGAACCGCAUGGUUCAACAGUGAAAGACGGUCUUGCUGUCACUUAUAGAUGGAUCCGCGCCGCAUUAGCUAGUUGGUAAGGUAACGGCUUACCAAGGCAACGAUGCGUAGCCGACCUGAGAGAGUGAUCGGCCACACUGGAACUGAGACACGGUACAGACUCCUACGGGAGGCAGCAGUAGGGAAUCCUCCGCAAUGGGCGAAAGCCUGACGGAGCAACGCCGCGUGAGUGAAGAAGGUCUUCGGAUCGUAAAACUCUGUUAUUAGGGAAGAACAAAUGUGUAAGUAACUAUGCACGUCUUGACGGUACCUAAUCAGAAAGCCACGGCUAACUACGUG